ensembl:lncRNA
CAGGGUACCCUUCACCAGUCCACCGAAGUAUCUGUAGAACAGACAUGGAGAAAUGGAGCUGGUGGAAGGUAGGCAGAAGGGAGUCUGAAGAUCUUCAGUUGUACCGAUCCUGGACUAGGUGCUUACUGAAGGCCAACUGCUUCUCAAGCUUUAGGAAGGGCUAAACAACCAUUCUACAAUCCCAGGACAGCAGGCAACGGAUGCCCAGAUACUUGUGGUUGUAUGUGAGGGAAAGCAGCAAAGAACUGCCAGGAGUACUUUUACUUACAGUGACCCUUUCACAGCAACUCCGGCAAGUGAGCUUGGCUAUAUUUUUUGUACAAAUUCAAAUGACUUUGGUGAUAUUACCUACCCCUGCUACUUGAAGACCACUCCUCUGCUUCAGUUCCUGAAGAGUCAGUCAAGAGGAAUACAAAUAUGCAAAUACCAGUGUCGGGCCAGAGAUGGGAUUGGCAAAAUUCCCAGGCUCAGAGGAAUAGAAAAUAUCAAGAGGUUGUCCAUGGCUCAAGUCUUGAUUUGUUCCUUUCCUUUUCACUAACUGCCAGCGUACCACAGAUAAGAAGAAAAUAUGAAGGCUGCCAGGAAAGGACAACACAGCUUUGUGAAUAAAUUCUUAUCCUCCAGCUUCAGACACUUGCAGUUCCUACUGCAACCUGAGCAUAGUUGAAUUUCACAUUCAAGGAUGCACAUAUUUUUAAGUUAUACCCAGCAACCAGGAGUAUGUAGAAACAAGUGCUCCUCUGCACUCAGUUUAUUUUCAUCAGCGUAAGCAGGGCCCAACCCACAAAUAAGCACACAAAAGGAUUUUUGUCUCUGAUCUUAACGGCAUUAGGAAUUAAUUAUGAUACUUCCUUAUACACCCAGAAACUUAACUAGAUGAUAAACAGAAAUGUGAUCAGUGAGUGCCCUAAGCCAUAAGCCCAUAAAACAGUGCAAAGCUGUUGACAGCCCUUGAACAGGAUUUUUGUUCUCAGAGCAGGACUAUAUUCAUUCAUACUGUGUGGUCAUUCUCCUUACAAUUAAAAGGCAUCUCAUGGUGCCACACAUCGCUGUCACAUUUAAAUAAGAUUAAAAGUGUGUGAAAGUAUUUAAGUACUUCUUUUCCCCCUGAAAAAACAAUGCAUAAAUCUAAUCUGAAAACACAAGUGCUUCUGUUUAAUGUAUUUAGGGAAGCAUCCAAAAGAAUUUUCCUAAAGUUUAUCAUGGUAAAUUUAAAAAAAGAAUAUACGGGAUAAAAUUUCAGACUGACUUCAGGUAUGCUUUAAGCCUUUCACUCCAGUUUCAGAAUUCACAUAUUCAGAGUUUUUGUUCUGCUAUCUCUAUCAUUCCCAGUUCCACCCUAGUUGGAAUAAAAGGUGGAUAAGGCAUAUUUUCCACAAUUUUCUUCACGCAGAAAACAGCAUAACCAGCAAAAUACACGGAGUGAGUUGUCAUCAUCUUUUCUACACUUUCCGAUGAGCAACUAAGAGAGACAACAGGGAGGCAACUCCCAGCACUUCGUAAAAAUAGUUCCAAAAAUAAAAACCUAUGUGUGUUUUAUACAUAGUUGCUUCAGUUCUACUUAAAACCAACACAAGCAUCAACCAUCAAUUUACAAGUAUUUCCACUGAAAUAUUUCUCAUACACGAAUAAAUUUCUCAUAUAU